rnacentral:RNase_P_RNA from 1 species
UGCAGUCACUUAUAAUAAAAUUUUUUAUAAGAGGAAAGUCCGGACUCUUUGAGCAAAGUGCCAGUUAAGUACUGGGCAAACAUUUUUGACGGAAAGUGCACAAGAAAAAAUACAAUCUUUUUAAUAGAUAAUGGUGAAAAGGUUUGGUAAAAGCAUACCACGUAUUUGGUAACAAAUUCGUUAUGUAAACCCCACUUUGAGUAAAACUAAAUAAGAAUUUAAAGCGCUCUAUAAAUUAUAAAUUACAAUUCUUGGUAGGUUGCAUAAAUAUAUAUAGCGAUGUAUAUGUUAGAUAAAUGACUGUAAUUUGUACAGAAUCCGGCUUA